UGGGGAAUAUUGCACAAUGGGGGAAACCCUGAUGCAGCGACGCCGCGUGAGUGAAGAAGUAUCUCGGUACGUAAAGCUCUAUCAGCAGGGAAGAAAAUGACGGUACCUGACCAAGAAGCCCCGGCUAACUACGUGCCAGCAGCCGCGGUAAUACGUAGGGGGCAAGCGUUAUCCGGAUUUACUGGGUGUAAAGGGAGCGUAGACGGCAGCACAAGUCUGGAGUGAAAUCCCGGGGCUUAACCCCGGAACUGCUUUGGAAACUGUGCGGCUGGAGUGCAGGAGGGGUAAGCGGAAUUCCUAGUG
rnacentral:rRNA from 1 species